GUGAAACAGUUCAGCUUGUUGUGUGUGAGUUCUUCUAAAGCAGCAGAUAAAGAAUCUGAACUUACAGGAAGAUAAAGAUGGCAAGUAAGUUAGAUAUACAAAGGCUUUAAAGGUUGUCAAUCCUGAACAUAAAACAGUAAUUUUUUUUUUUAUUAUAUAAUAUAUUUAUUUAUAUGAUAUAUUUUGUUUUAUAUUGUUUAAUGUUUUGGUAUAUCACCAUUCAGUCAGAAGAUUUUAUCAGUCAUCAUAAUCCAGUUAACUGUCAUAAACUCACUGGGUUUCUGUUUCACAGAGCAGCAUUUUAGAUUUAUUCUAACAUUCAGUGUUUUCCUUUUUUUAAACUGAUGUAUUUGCACCAUCUACAAACCUAAUAAAGGUGUUUUCUUCAUGAUGUCAUCUUAAUAUCAUGUUUCUUUAUGAUGUUUUAAACAGGUCAUUUCUCAUGGAAGAGCUUGUUUGGAGAAAAUAAAGAGCCCUGGGUAAGUAAAUGACAUUUUAUUGAUUUUACACACUAUUCAAUCUUUAAUAUGAACAAACUCAUGUUAACUCCAAAUUUAUGUUUAGAAAAUGUUAUAUAUCCUAUAAACAGUGCGGCUUAAACAUAUUCAACUGAGCAUUUCACUUAAAGGCCUUGCCUAAUUAUUCUAACCAGUGAAAACCAAUUAAUCAAAUGGUAUUUUGUUUUUCAAAGCUAUUCUCCUGUUACAUGCCAAAAGGGUAUGAGUUUGCAUCCCAGCAAGGCAUCUAUGUAUCAUCAUGAAACUUGAUGUGUGUCUUCAGACCAAGCCCUGAAUGUAGAAAAAACAGCAAAACUGCGCCAUCUUGUGGUUUUCCUCAUAUCGUUUACAGUUCUGUUUUUUUUUUUCCAAUAAUUUUCUGGAGUAUUCUAAUGUAAAUGACAUUACUUUAAAAAGCUGUUUUAUUUUUCUAAUUCUCCUAAAUUUUAUAUAAUAUUAUUUUAUUUAUUAAUUAUAUUUUUUGUCUCUCAAAUGCUGA